rnacentral:rRNA from 1 species
CGGAGUAUGUGGUUUAAUUUCGAUGCAACGCGAAGAACUUACCUGGUCUUGACAUCCCGGAGACCCUUAGGAAACUAGGGGUGCUUCCAUCUGGAAGAAUCUGGAGACAGGUGCUGCAUGGCUGUCGUCAGCUCGUGUCGUGAGAUGUUGGGUUAAGUCCCGCAACGAGCGCAACCCUUGCCUUUAGUUGCCAGCAGUUCGGCUGGGCACUCUAAAGGGACUGCCGGUGUUAAACCGGAGGAAGGUGGGGAUGACGUCAAGUCCUCAUGGCCUUUAUGACCAGGGCUACACACGUACUACAAUGGCCGAUACAAAGGGCAGCGACACUGCGAGGUGAAGCCAAUCCCGUAAAAUCGGUCUCAGUCCGGACUGGAGUCUGCAACUCGACUCCAUGAAGUUGGAAUCGCUAGUAAUCGUGGAUCAGCAUGCCACGGUGAAUACGUUCCCGGGCCUU